GCCCUAUUGGAAGGAGCUGCACUGAGACGGUUCAGAAAAAUUCAGGGCCGUCACACAAUUAUUCUAUUUUAUUCCGUUUUUUUCUGAGCUCAAUGUGAUGAACUGAGUGUCGACCCUCCACAUCCAGAGACAACUAGAGGUGUCGACCCUCCACAUCCAGAGACAACUAGAGGUGUCGACCCUCCACGUCUAGAGACAACUAGAGGUGUCGACCCUCCACGUCCAGAGACAACUAGAGGUGUCGACCCUCCACGUCUAGAGACAACUAGAGGUGUCGACCCUCCACAUCCAGAGACAACUAGAGGUGUCGACCCUCCACG